rnacentral:tmRNA from 1 species
GGGGGCGAUCGGUUUCGACGGGAUAUGCAUCGUGGUAGAUGGCAUGUCGAGGUCCAGUCUCUCGUUAAUCAACUGGAAAACCCAUAAAUGCCGAUUACGGCUACAUGGCCGCUGCUUAAUUAAGCGGGCCCGUCCUGGAUUUGGUGCGCCUAUGGCCAGAUCUAAGGGCGUCAAUUUCAUAGGCUGGUUUCGAUUGUUGUCUGUGAUAUCGGAAUAAGACUUUAACAGACUUUGCCUAAAGUGGCUGUGUCAUCAGGGCAGCUUUGGGUAAGCCAAAUCUGUAUGACUACACAUGUAGAUGUUUACCGGGAUUCUAUUUCGGACGGGAGUUCGAUUCUCCCCGCCUCCACUU